GACAUGCUAGUCGCGUGCUUCAGCCAAAACGAGGCACGGCAAACAGCUCAGUAACACGUGGCUAAUCUGCCCUUAGGACGCGAACAACCCCGGGAAACUGGGGCUAAUUCUCGAUAGGUGAAGAACUCUGGAAUGAGUCUUUGCCUAAAAGAGCUUACGUUAUGCUCGUAAGUUUCGCCUAAGGAUGAGGCCGCGACCGAUCAGGUUGUUGGUGAGGUAAUGGCUCACCAAGCCUUUUACCGGUGCGGGCCGUGAGAGCGGGAGCCCGGAGAUGGGCACUGAGACAAGGGCCCAGGCCCUACGGGGCGCAGCAGUCGCGAAAACUUUGCAAUACACGAAAGUGUGACAGGGCUAUCCCGAGUGCCAUCCGCUGAGGAAGGCUUUUACCCAGUCUAGAACGCUGGGGGAAUAAGGAGAGGGCAAGUCUGGUGUCAGCCGCCGCGGUAAUACCAGCUCUCCGAGUGGUGUGGAUGUUUAUUGGGCCUAAAGCAUCCGUAGCUGGCUAGGUAAGUCCCCUGUUAAAUCCACCGAAUUAAUCGUUGGAUCGCGGGGGAUACUGCUUGGCUAGGGGACGAGAGAGGCAGACGGUAUUUCUGGGGUAGGGGUGAAAUCCUAUAAUCCCAGGAAGACCACCAGUGGCGAAGGCUGUCUGCCAGAACGCGCUCGACGGUGAGGGAUGAAAGCUGGGGGAGCAAACCGGAUUAGAUACCCGGGUAGUCCCAGCUGUAAACGAUGCAGACUCGGUGAUGGGCUGGCCUUGUGCCAACCCAGUGCCGCAGGAAGCCGUUAAGUCUGCCGCCUGGGGAGUACGGUCGCAAGACUGAAACUUAA
rnacentral:rRNA from 1 species